rnacentral:tRNA from 1 species
GCCUUCGUGGUGUAGUGGUCAGCACACUCACCUUGUAUUCUAGAGGUCCGUGGUUCGAGUCCCGGCAAGGACA